UUGGAUUUCUUCGGAAUGACGAUUUUUGUGACUGAGCGGCGGACGGGUGAGUAACGCGUGGGUAACCUGCCUCAUACAGGGGGAUAACAGUUAGAAAUGACUGCUAAUACCGCAUAAGACCCCAGCUUCGCAUGAAGCGGUGGUAAAAACUCCGGUGGUAUGAGAUGGACCCGCGUCUGAUUAGCUAGUUGGUAAGGUAACGGCUUACCAAGGCGACGAUCCGUAGCCGACCUGAGAGGGUGACCGGCCACAUUGGGACUGAGACACGGCCCAGACUCCUACGGGAGGCAGCAGUGGGGAAUAUUGCACAAUGGGGGAAACCCUGAUGCAGCGACGCCGCGUGAAGGAUGAAGUAUUUCGGUAUGUAAACUUCUAUCAGCAGGGAAGAAAGUGACGGUACCUGACUAAGAAGCCCCGGCUAACUACGUGCCAGCAGCCGCGGUAAUACGUAGGGGGCAAGCGUUAUCCGGAUUUACUGGGUGUAAAGGGAGCGUAGACGGGAUAGCAAGUCUGAAGUGAAAGCCCGGGGCUCAACCCCGGGACUGCUUUGGAAACUGUUUUGCUAGAGUGUCGGAGAGGUAAGUGGAAUUCCUAGUGUAGCGGUGAAAUGCGUAGAUAUUAGGAGGAACACCAGUGGCGAAGGCGGCUUACUGGACGAUAACUGACGUUGAGGCUCGAAAGCGUGGGGAGCAAAC
rnacentral:rRNA from 1 species